rnacentral:lncRNA from 1 species
UACGGCUUCGUCUCGACGAGAGAAACACGAUGAUGGGCUUGGAUGCACGAGAUUAUCAAUGGUUAGGAAGUUAUGGGUGAAUUACUAAACGGAACCGAAACUGAACUUAAAUCAUGGGAUUUUCGCGGUGGUUACCUGCGAUUAACGGUGGUGGCGAGCUCAACACGGUCACGGGGCGUAGAGGCUAUAACGAACUCCGGUGACGACCUCAACCUCUCCAAAUCCUUCUUCUCACCUCCCCUUCUCUUCUUUUAUCUUCCCUUCUCUUCUCUACUCUUCUCUUCUCUCUGAUUUUUUUUUUUCUUUUGAUUGCAGGUUAUUAGUGGAGAAGGUGGGUUUAAUAGAUGUGUUAAUGGGUGGAGUUGGUGGAGUGGAGAAGUUAGGUCGUGACAG